GACGAACGCUGGCGGCGUGCUUAACACAUGCAAGUCGAACGGGAAGGCCCUGCUUUUGUGGGGUGCUCGAGUGGCGAACGGGUGAGUAACACGUGAGUAACCUGCCCUUGACUUUGGGAUAACUUCAGGAAACUGGGGCUAAUACCGGAUAGGAGCUCCUGCUGCAUGGUGGGGGUUGGAAAGUUUCGGCGGUUGGGGAUGGACUCGCGGCUUAUCAGCUUGUUGGUGGGGUAGUGGCUUACCAAGGCUUUGACGGGUAGCCGGCCUGAGAGGGUGACCGGCCACAUUGGGACUGAGAUACGGCCCAGACUCCUACGGGAGGCAGCAGUGGGGAAUAGUGCACAAUGGGCGGAAGCCUGAUGCAGCAACGCCGCGUGCGGGAUGACGGCCUUCGGGUUGUAAACCGCUUUCGCCUGUGACGAAGCGUGAGUGACGGUAAUGGGUAAAGAAGCACCGGCUAACUACGUG
rnacentral:rRNA from 1 species